rnacentral:rRNA from 1 species
UAGCCUAGAGAUAGGUGAAGCCCUUCGGGGCGCACAGACAGGUGGUGCAUGGUUGUCGUCAGCUCGUGUCGUGAGAUGUUGGGUUAAGUCCCGCAACGAGCGCAACCCUUAUUAUUAGUUGCUACGCAAGAGCACUCUAAUGAGACUGCCGUUGACAAAACGGAGGAAGGUGGGGAUGACGUCAAAUCAUCAUGCCCCUUAUGACCUGGGCUACACACGUACUACAAUGGCGUAAACAAAGGGAAGCGAAGUGGUGACACGAAGCAAAUCCGAAAAACAACGUCUCAGUUCGGAUUGUAGUCUGCAACUCGACUACAUGAAGCUGGAAUCGCUAGUAAUCGCGAAUCAGGAUGUCGCGGUGAAUACGUUCCCGGGUCUUGUACACACCGCCCGUCACACCAUGGGAGUCGGAAAUGCCCGAAGUCAGUGACCCAACCGAGAGGAGGGAGCUGCCGAAGGUGGAGCCGGUAACUGGGGUGAAGUCGUAACAAGGUAGCCGUAUCGGAAGGUGCGGC